rnacentral:rRNA from 1 species
UACGAAGGGAACUAGCGUUGUUCGGAUUUACUGGGCGUAAAGAGCAUGUAGGCGGAUUGGUCAGUUGGGGGUGAAAGCCCGGAGCUCAACUCCGGAACGGCCUUCAAUACUGCCAGUCUAGAGUCUGUAAGGGGGUGGUGGAAUUCCGAGUGUAGAGGUGAAAUUCGUAGAUAUUCGGAGGAACACCAGUGGCGAAGGCGACCACCUGGUACAGUACUGACGCUGAGAUGCGAAAGCGUGGGGGAGCAAACAGG